rnacentral:rRNA from 1 species
GACAGGGGGUGCAAACGUUGUUCGGAAUUACUGGGCGUAAAGCGCGUGUAGGCGGCUCGGCAAGUCGGGUGUGAAAGCCCUGGGCUUAACCUAGGAAGUGCACUCGAAACUGCCAAGCUUGAGUUCUGGGGAGGAAGGCGGAAUUCUCGGUGUAGAGGUGAAAUUCGUAGAUAUCGAGAGGAACACCGGUGGCGAAGGCGGCCUUCUGGACAGCAACUGACGCUGAGACGCGAAAGCGUGGGGAGCAAACAGG